CAACAAAUACACUCUCUGUAUUUUAUUUGCCUACGCAAAGACAAUCUCUCAAUUUUUUCUCAUUAAUUUCUUGCACAAACGAAAGCCUAACUGCUUCUCACUUUGUGCUUACUCACUAUCUCUCGUGUUUUCACUCUACACAAUUUUCUUGCACUUCUCUUUUGCUCACGUUUUGGCACACUACUUUCCUCCCACUUUGGCUCCAAUUUAUAGGAAAAAUUUCACCUUCCUUAUUAAAUGCAUAUCCAUCCAUUUUCAACAAAAUUGGCUCCCAUAAAUGCAUGGCGAGAAAUUUCUUCCAAG
rnacentral:lncRNA from 1 species